AUGCAGGCGCGGGUGGCGUCCAUGGAGGACAUGAAGGAGGCGAGGCUGGGGGCGCCGGGGCAGGGCGGCGGGAGGGUGUUCCCCACCGGGAUGCUCAAGGUCUUCCUCGGCUUCCUGCUGCUCGGCGUCGGCCUCUCCGCCGCCGGCAUGUACAUGGCGCGCCACACGCUCGCGGCCGCCGCGCCGGCCAUCUUCCGCCCCUGCCUCGGGGCCUCCGCCUCCGCCGAGCCGCAGCCGCUCGACGGGCUCGAGCGCUGGACGCGCCCCCCGUCCCGCGCGCGCCACGCGAUGACGGACGAGGAGCUGCUCUGGCGCGCGUCCUUCGCGCCCCUGGUCCGCCCCUACCCGUUCCCCCGCGUGCCCAAGGUCGCCUUCAUGUUCCUCACGCGCGGCCCGCUGCCGCUCGCGCCGCUCUGGGAGCGCUUCUUCCGGGGACACGAGGGCCGCUACUCCGUCUACGUCCACGCCCUCCCCUCCUACCGCGCCAACUUCACCAAAGACUCCGUCUUCUACCACCGCCAAAUCCCCAGUAAGGUUGCCGAAUGGGGUCAGAUGACCAUGUGUGAUGCUGAGAGACGCCUGCUGGCUAAUGCUUUGCUGGAUAUAUCUAAUGAGUGGUUUGUGCUUGUGUCUGAGUCAUGCAUUCCCAUAUUUGAUUUCAACACCACAUACGACUACUUUCAGAAUUCAAGCCAAAGCUUUGUCAUGGUGUUUGAUGAUCCUGGGCCAUAUGGACGGGGCCGGUAUAAUUAUAACAUGACCCCUGAGGUUGAGAUCGAACAAUGGCGCAAAGGCUCGCAAUGGUUUGAAGUAGACAGAGAUCUUGCCAUCGAGAUCAUCAGAGACACACGCUAUUACCCGAAAUUCAAGGAGUUCUGCAGGCCUCAUUGUUAUGUCGAUGAACACUAUUUCCCUACAAUGCUCACGAUUGAAGCUCCGCAAAGCCUUGCUAACAGAAGUGUCACCUGGGUAGACUGGUCGAGAGGUGGUGCACAUCCAGCCACGUUUGGUAGGGGAGAUAUCACUGAGGAAUUCCUGAGAAGAGUCCAAACGGGACGGACUUGCCUCUACAAUAAUCAAAAUUCCACAACAUGCUUCCUGUUUGCUCGGAAGUUCGCACCAAGUGCGCUGCAGCCAUUGUUAGUGCUAGCGCCCACUGUGCUGGGUUAUGGUUGA
rnacentral:rRNA from 1 species